rnacentral:rRNA from 2 species
GAGUUUGAUCAUGGCUCAGAUUGAACGCUGGCGGCAGGCCUAACACAUGCAAGUCGAGCGGUAGCACAGAGAGCUUGCUCUCGGGUGACGAGCGGCGGACGGGUGAGUAAUGUCUGGGAAACUGCCUGAUGGAGGGGGAUAACUACUGGAAACGGUAGCUAAUACCGCAUAAUGUCGCAAGACCAAAGUGGGGGACCUUCGGGCCUCAUGCCAUCAGAUGUGCCCAGAUGGGAUUAGCUAGUAGGUGGGGUAACGGCUCACCUAGGCGACGAUCCCUAGCUGGUCUGAGAGGAUGACCAGCCACACUGGAACUGAGACACGGUCCAGACUCCUACGGGAGGCAGCAGUGGGGAAUAUUGCACAAUGGGCGCAAGCCUGAUGCAGCCAUGCCGCGUGUGUGAAGAAGGCCUUCGGGUUGUAAAGCA